rnacentral:rRNA from 1 species
ACUCCUACGGGAGGCAGCAGUGGGGAAUAUUGCACAAUGGGGGAAACCCUGAUGCAGCCAUGCCGCGUGUGUGAAGAAGGCCUUGGUUGUAAAGCACUUUCAGUAGGGAGGAAGGUAGUGUAGUUAACACCUGCAUUAUUUGACGUUACCUACAGAAGAAGCGCCGGCUAACUCCGUGCCAGCACGCCGCGGUAAUACGGAGGGUGCGAGCGUUAAUCGGAAUUACUGGGCGUAAAGCGCAUGCAGGCGGCCUGUUAAGUCAGAUGUGAAAGCCCGGGGUCUUAACCUCGGAAUUGCAUUUGAAACUGGCAGGCUAGAGUCUGUAGAGGGGUUAGAAUUUCAGGUGUAGCGGUGAAAUGCGUAGAGAUCUGAAGGAAUACCAGUGGCGAAGGCGGCCCCUGGACAAAGACUGACGCUCAGAUGCGAAAGCGUGGGACGCAAACAGGAUUAGAUACCCCGUGGUAGCGACUGA